AGAGAGAGAGAGAGAGAGAGAAAGGCCCUGACGUUGGCAGGACUCUGCUUGUACAUUGUGCAAUCUGCACGGAACUUGGGACGCCCCACUCAGGAGAACAAUAUGAUGCUUUGUUUAAGGCAAGCGUAAAUGUUUGUAUGCAUGGGAAGGAAGGAAGGAAGGAAGGAAGGAAGGAAGGAAGGAAGGAAGGAAGGAAAAUGAAAGUGAGCAAGAAAGUGUGUCUGUAUAUGAAGGGGAAAACAAUCACUGCAAUCUGACAUUUUGUUUAAUGAAGAAUGGAAGGCUGGCAUUCAGAGAUAUGGAUAUGUGCUGCAUAUUAAUAUGUGCUCAGAGAUAUCCUUCCACUCCCCACCCCCCCUUUUAUUUUUUUAAAAAAAAAGAUGAGUGUCACAAGAACAAAUCCUUCUAUGGAUCAACCUCAGUGGCAGCAGGCAACUUACAAGCUUUGCAUUUAUGGAUCCAUUCUACAAUCUUUGGUCCAUUGGGACUCAUCCUACAGACCUAGAAGAAACAAGUAUGACAGCUUUUCAUCAUGACCUUGUGUAACAUGCUGCAUUUUGUUCGGUAUACUAUUGUCAUGCAGAAUCUUCUUUCACUAAACUUAUUGAUUUGAUUUGAUUCUCUCAAGACUGCUGCCAUUGCUGCAUCUGAUGCUCCCAGAUCCAUAUUUCCUUAUAAUAUUUUUCUUAAUGGCAACUUGAACUGUAGCAUCAGUGACUGCUAUAAACCAGAAGUAAUUGGGAAUGGAAAUGCUCCUAGGAAGAUGUGAUUUUUUUUUCCUGAUGAUUCCCAAAGUAAAUGUCUUCCAAACCAAUUGUUUAUAUUUCCAGGAAUUGUGGAUUAGUUUAAGAUUGUCCAGUGCAGUGUAAUAGCUUUUAGCCAUGAUACAUGUUUGCAUAACAUUGCUGUUCAUUAUGUGUCAGGCAUAAAAGGAAUAGAAGUAUACUUAAAGGAAGGUAGCAAGAUGCCACAAUUCUAGAGUAAAUACAUGGACUGUAAAUGUUUGAUAAUUAUAUGAAGAAUGCCCUUAAAUCACAAGUUUCUGUUAUAGAGAUGAAACUCCCCUGACAUAUGGCACUCUUUGAUACUAACGUGGCUGACUUCCAGCCCACUCUUUGAUGCAUUACUAACUGUUCCUUUUCUCUUCUCUCUCUAAAACCUUGUUGGCAAGACUUAUCAUACACAUGUGGGACCUGAUUAUUUAAUUCCUCUAAUACAGUUUAUAGGCCUAAUUUAGAUGCUUACUAAUUGAAAAGCAUUUUCAUGUCCACAGAUAGUAACAUAUGCCAGGCUGGGCUUUCAGGUCUAUCCUCUUUACUUUCAGAGUCUCACUUCUCCAUUCUUGCUAGCAUUCUGCUUGCGAUCACAUGCAAUUCGUCUCAACCAGAUCUCCCCGUUGAACUGUUUGCACCUCUGACUCUGUUUAAAGAUUCUGUUUAAGAGAAAACAAGAGUAUAGGAAAGUAACAUGUAUCAAAUUAUAUAGUAUGUAUGAAAUUAUAUUUGUGCACUCUUUAUAAAACUAAUUUUGUUUCUACUGCAACUACAGAUUUUUGAAAGACGCAAUUGUUAUAAAAGACUGUACAUCCUUUUAUAUUAUGAAUGAAUGAAUGAAGCAGUCACAUAGAGAAAUCAGUUAUAUGAUUACAUUAUGCUAGUGACUGUGGCCAUUAUAUGAGUUUUGCAUCUGGCACUAAAAAUAUUAAAAACUGUCAGGUAGAUUCAUAGACAAUAAUAAUGAAGGAGAACUCAAGAAUGCAAUAUAUUAAGAAAUUGCUAUUUUUAAUAUUUUAAAAUGAUGAAUUAAAAAAGAAAGCAAACAAUAUGAACUAAAUCAAUAGUCUUUCUGGUAUUGACACUAUGAAGUAAUAUACCAUUUAAAAGAACACACUAAACAAUCUGAAACAUUCCUGUGGGCUUUUAACAUGAGUUAGAGCCUGCUGGAAUCACAAUCUCAUUGGUUGCAUUUCAUACAGAGUGUUCUAAUUUUCACUAAGUCCUGAUCAAUUUGAAUUUAUAGCCACUUAAACAAAUAGAAAGCCAGAUUGUUUGCACGCAACCAAAUUGGUCUGAAUAUAUGACCAAGUUUGGAUAAAUACACAAAUAUACUUUCAAAGAUAUGAAGCUCUGGAACACUCCUUACAGGUAGAUUUUUUUAGUGCUUUUCACCAAUCUAUUAGUAUAUUACUAUAAAUGUUUUAAAAAAUGAGUUAGGAUUAUCUAUACCUAUAUAUACUGUACAUCUAUACCUAUAUAACUGAAGAUAGAGAUCUGAGAUAUCAUCUACACUACAUGAAAUCCAGGUAGUUGUUUUCUGCUCCUAAUACAGUAUAUUUGCUGACCACUAAUGUAUGCUAUGUAUAGUCAAGGCUAUGGUUUUCCCAGAUGCAAUGUAUGGCUGUGAAAGUUGGACCAUAAGAAAGGCUGAAUGCUAAAGAAUUGAGGCCUUUGAACUAUGGUGCUGGAGAAGACUCCUGCAAGUCCCUUGGACUUCAAGGCGAUCAAACCAGUCAGUCCUAGAGGAGAUCAACCCUGACUGCUCUUUAGAAGGCUAGAUCCUGAAGAUGAAACUCAAAUACUUUGGCCACCUAAUAAGAAGGAAGGAUUCAUUGGAAAAGAACCUAAUGCUGGGAAAGAUUGAGGGCAAAAGAAGAAGGGGAUGACAGAGAACGAGGUGGCUGGAUGGAGUCACCCGCAGUAGGCCUGAGCUUAAAUGGAGUCCAGAGGAUGGUAGAGGACAGGAAGGCCUGGAGGAACAUUGUCCAUGGGGUCAAGAUGGGUCGGACAUGACUUUGCAACUAACAACAACAACAACAACAAUGUAUGCUAUUAAUGUUUACAUUAAUAUUAACAUUUAAAUACUUUUGUUAAAUAUAAGUUUCAAAAUGUAUUUUAUUUCCAGAUUUAAUAUUUUGCAUUUGUUCUAUCUGGACUUUGAAAAGUGAGAAAGCCACUAGAUAACUAAAGGACAAUCUGUAGAUUAAUCUGAGAACUAUAUAUUAGAGAAAAUUCAUAUUACAAUCUUUAGCUAUGCAUUUUGGGAUGAACACCCUUCAAAUAGUAUAAGUAUGAAUGGAUUUUCCAGAAAAAUUGCAGAUUACAGAAAACAUUUGUACUUCAGUUUGAGAUGUAGACAACAAAACAGCCUGUGCCUGUCUUCAACAGGGAAGGGACACAGGGCAGAAAACAUCCUACAGCCAAGAAGGUUCCACAUCCAUUUACAUUACUCAAGUGACCCUGAGGACACAGAUAAACCUCCAGGUAGACUCAACAACUCUCUAAAAGAAUGCAAAUGAUCAGCUGUCUGCAAGGAAUAUAAAUCCUUCCAUUCCCCACCAUCCAGUCAGAGCUGAAGAAACUUCUUGGAUGAAAAGCAAAAUAUUUUCAAAGAAAAAAAAAGUAGUCCAGUUGCCUCCUGAAAAAAGUACCUUUGGGACAUAUUACAAUUUGGUAAUUCCUCAACAAUCUGUAGAUAGAUGCAGCCAUGAUGGUGACCCAGAAAAAUCCAAUAAUAUUCCAAGUAAUGGAAUAUCAUUUAGCUGAGAAUUAAAUUUGAUAAUCAUUAAAUAACAGCAUUCAAUGCAGUUCAUCAGAAUUGUGGUUCAUUAUAUGCCCAUGUGGUUGUUUUUAAGAAAACAUGUAUGAGUACAUCUGCCUCAAAUCUUAUUGAUCUCCAUCAGAAACUCCUAUAAUUUUGUGUGUAGCUUAUAGCUUUAAACUAAAAUCGUAAAAUAAGACUCUGAUUACAUUGGUAAAAGAUCGUGUCUGGAAGAUUAUUUUGGUUAAGACAAAAGUAUUUAACAUUUGCUUCCUAAGAACUUUUUCAGCGAAAAAACCCCCCAAAGGUACAGGUGGUUUAUUUAAAACUUCAUAGUUAAACUUCAGUUUUUCCAAAAACUCAUUCCAAGUUAUACAUUUUAUAGUCAGAGCAGAAAUACUGUUAAGAGAUGUUUAUCCUACAAUAAAUAAAUAAAUAAUACAUCAGCGAUGGAGGAAAUGAUUACAAGUUUUAUUCAGCUUCUUACUUUCCAAAUCAAAUCCAAAAAUUCACCUUAUACCUAUGUAAAGUGGAUUAUUUAUGUAAUUAUCUGUCCAGAUGUCCUCAUCAGCUCCUAUUUGCAAUUAUUUGAUGACAGUCAGAUUCCAUGCAAACAUAUUAAGGCCAAGUACAAAUAUUAUUAUUGUAAUGGCUUUUUAUUUCUAGAACCAUUAGAGGAAGGGAUACAAUUUUCUUCUGUUUAUGUACCAUUGCACAGAACACAUAUCUUAGUGAUUAAAAGCACAGAAGUCAUAAGAACAAUGCAGUGAUGUUUCAUAAAAUUUACAUUUAAAAAAAUACAUUGUAAACGGUCUCUAGAAAUUUGUUUCAUCUACGCAGUGAAGGAAGUAGAUGAAGGGGGAUUAUUUGUCCUAGAAGAAAGAGAAAAAGCCUCAGCCUGAAACAAUUUCAUCAUAUUUCUGUUGGUCCCUUUUUAUUGCGAACCUGGCUGUUUAUAUAUUAGAAGACAUAGUAUUCUAUGUCUUCUAAGACAUAGGGGUAACAGAAGUUGUUCUUAAUUACUAUCAACUUUUUUUCACUUUUUGUUUUUGAAGUUUUAAAAAAAUCUUCUACUUACCUACUUUGAAUGUGUUUUUAAUCAAUAUAGUUUAUAGUAUUCCUCAAUGUUUGAAAAAUGUAUUUUUAUGCAGUGUUUGAAAAUGUUAUCAAUGCACUGAAUAUUGCUUCAAUAGUUGGUAAACAAUGAAUAACUUACAUGUUUUUGUUUCUGUGAAAACUUAAAAAUAGAGAGUAACCCUACUGUCAUCUUGAAUUGAAACUGGUGAGUUUGCUUAAGUGAGGAAUGCAAGAACGAUCUGUUUGCUUGGAGUUAAUUGAAAAAUGGAGAGCUAGCAGUUUUUCUUGUUUUUCAGAAGACUUUCUAAAGCCAUCACUAUAAAUUAUCAGAAUACUUCUAGGCAAUGGCCAGUGAAUUAGAACUAAGCUGUAACAUUGCAUCAUCUAUAUAGUUGUAAAAUAGAUUUAACAGAAGCCAGAAAUAAAUCAUUGACAAAUAAAUCCAAUAAACAUGGUCUGAAUAUUGAACCUUGGCGGACACUGCUGUCCAUUUCAGCCAAGUACAUUUCUUGUCCAGUACAUAUUUUUGAGUUCUUUUUAAACAGUUAUGCUUCUAAGAUAAGUAACAUAUCCUCAAGAGUAUCAUUUUUAAUUGUUUAAAUUCAGCAACCUACAGACAAUUAAAUCAAAUGCUUUGUUAAUAUAUAUUAAACAGUCAGAAGUCUAAACUAUCCAGUAGAAAGUAUUCACAUAACAUUCAUUGAUAAAUCAUAAAGUGUGCUUGGACUGAUGUGAUAUAUUAGAUUUGAGUUUUUUAGUAUGGAAAAUAUACAGUAGAAAUACAUUCUACUUGGAAGCAAUUAGUCUUCUUAAAUGGUCAGCAGAAAUAUCUUCCAUUCUCUUUGCGGAGUGUUGGAAGAGCUGAGGACCAGGCCAUCAAUUUGGUAGAUACACAGGGAGGCAACAAAUUUAGAUUAUGUCAAAAUGAUGCAGAUGCACAUAAGAAGGGUCACAUGGUUUGUUUUUGUGACAUUCCCUGUGGAACUCCUGGAAACAAUGUGCUUGGGAGGAAGAUACCUUAUAAUGCUCUUUUCCCUUUGGGAAGAAAGGCUUCACAGAACUAUUAUCAGAUUUUGCCCUUUUUUAUUUUACCCUUGAGUCCAAUGCACUGAUGAAAAACAGGAGUGCAUACAAACGACAAGCCCUGCCUGCACUCAUCUUGCCCUCUGUCUAUUUAGCUUCAGGGGUCCUUAGUCAUCACAGAUAACACGGAGAAAGCACAAAGCAAAACACUACAUAUUUUUCUCAGACUUAUGAGUUUUUUAAAAAAGUUUAAACAAGAUCAUAAUUCAAAUCAACUUAUCAUGAAUUGCAUGAAGCAUUAACAUAGAUGUAUAGAUUUUCCAUAGGAUAUAGGUAACUAUAGGCAACCAAAUAACUGUCUAUGUCAACCAGGUAUAAAAAACAUGCACGGUACUUGAUUCAUUUAAGUCCAAUCAAUAUGAAAUCACUUAGUUGUUUAUUAUUGUCUUAGCAGGCUCUAUACUGAGGCUCUUUUUAAAGGCUGAAUUUCCCUUUUUCUACAUAGGAGUUAAAUUCCAUACAUGGCCUCCAAUUUAUUUUGCUAGAGGGCCAAAUGAAAAUGAAUCUUCAUGUUCUAUUUUUUUUAAGUUUCACAUGGCACUACAGACAAUGUAGUUAACUUUUAUGCAAUGACUAGUCAGUGGUACCUUCAAGUCAGUAUUGGCCACUGGUGCAGUGGUGGGUUUCAAAUUUUUUUACUAUUGGUUCUGUGGGUGUGGCUUGGUGGCCGUGGCAUAGCUUAGUGGAUGUAGCUUGGUGGGCGUGGCAGGGGAAGGAUACUGUAAAAUCUGCAUUCUCACCCCACUCCAGGGGAAGGAUACUGUAAAAUCUCCAUUCCCUCCCCACUCCAGGAGAAGGUUACUGCAAAAUCCCCAUUUCCUCCCAAUCAGCUGGGACUUGGGAGGCAGAGAAUAGAUGGGGGUGGGGCCAGUCAGAAUUUUUACUACCGGUUCCCCGAACUACUCAAAAUUUCUGCUACCGGUUCUCCAGAACUGGUCAGAAUCUGCUGAAACCCACCUCUGCCCUGGUGACUGCCUAGAUCAGUCCUGGUAAUUUUCUUGGCAAGAUUUGAGAAAUGGUUUGCCAUUGCCUGCUUCCUAGAAUUGAGAGAGAGAAUGUCUGGCUCAAGGCUGUUCAGUUGACUUCUGGGUAAGACAGGACUGGAAUUCACAGUCUCCAGGUUUCUAUCUUGGUGUCUUAAACUCCUAAUCAAACUGGCUUUCUUUUUACACUUGCAUUUCAACAGUAUAUGAACAAAAACACAAAAAUUGUGCUUUCCAAAGUGAUUCUAUAUCCAAGAAAGAUAAGUGCAUCUUAUGAUUACUAGAUGUAGAUGUUGUAGAUAACAAUCAAAUGAUAUUUGACUUAAUGUUUUUUGGAUAACAUCUUCCCAAAGGCAUACUUUUCUAUAAUUUAUUAUAAUUAAAUAUAAACCUCUACUGCAUACAAGGAAUCUGAGCAGUUAGAAAAACAAAUAUUCCAUUACUCUUUCCUAGUCAUUUUAAAGCUGUAAUGUACUUUGUAAUCUGUGCUUGGUUACAUAUUUCAUUUUGGUAUCUUAAUCAAAAAUUAAGAGGUUGAAUUAAAAUUUGUGUCAGAUUUAUUUUAUUCACUAGAUCUAGCAGAUUGGGCAGGCUACAGAUCUCAUCAGCCAAAGAGUGUCAACUGGUGGGAUUAGAAAAUGGGCCUUUUCUGCAGUAGCUCCUGCUCUCUGAAAUAUCCUACUUUUGAGAUUAGAAAGACCCCAACGCUGCUAGCCUUUUGUAAAGUUCUAAAAAAACUGGCUCAAUUCCUGGAGUGCUGUGUGUGCCAUUACCUGGGAUUAUUGUUAACUGGCCAUAUAUAUUUAUUUUGGGUGUUUUUAAAUUGUUUUUAUUGUUUUAAAAGUAGUAUUUUUCUUCAUUGUAAGCUUCCUGGAGUCAUUGAUUGAAAUAGGCAGCAAUAGAAAUGAAUGAAUUAUUUAUUUAUUUAGCGUAUGGCUGGUCACACACAAUAUAAUGAAGGAAUGAAUGAAUAGGAAUGAAUGAAUGAAUGCUUUAUGGGAAUAUAAAGUUAUGUAAUAUUCAGUAAUGUGUAGCAGGUUGAAAGCAACAUUUUGAAAUGUAAAAUUUGUUCCAUUUAUUUCAUUAAAAAUAUUUUUUCCGAAA